rnacentral:rRNA from 1 species
UACGGGGGGGGCAAGCGUUGUUCGGAAUUACUGGGCGUAAAGGGCGCGUAGGCGGCCUGCUAAGUCGGACGUGAAAUCCCUCGGCUCAACCGAGGAACUGCGUCCGAUACUGGUGGGCUUGAAUCCGGGAGAGGGAUGUGGAAUUCCAGGUGUAGCGGUGAAAUGCGUAGAUAUCUGGAGGAACACCGGCGGCGAAGGCGGCACUCUGGGCCGGUACUGACGCUGAGGAGCGAAAGCGUGGGUAGCAAACAGG